UAGCUCCUACGGGGGGCAGCAGUGGGGAAUAUUGCACAAUGGGGGAAACCCCGAUGCAGCGACGCCGCGUGAGUGAAGAAGUAUUUCGGUAUGUAAAGCUCUCUCAGCAGGGAAGAUAAUGACGGUACCUGACUAAGAAGCACCGGCUAACUACGUGCCAGCAGCCGCGGUAAUACGUAGGGUGCAAGCGUUAUCCGGAUUUACUGGGUGUAAAGGGCGAGUAGACGGCGUUGCAAGUCAGAUGUGAAAGGCUAGGGCUCAACCUUAGGAGAGCAUCUGAAACUGUAAUGCUAGAGUGCAGGAGG
rnacentral:rRNA from 1 species